GACGAACGCUGGCGGCGCGCUUAACACAUGCAAGUCGAACGGAAAGGCCUGCUUUCCCUUGUGGAUUGCGGGUACUCGAGUGGCGAACGGGUGAGUAACACGUGAGUGAUCUGCCCCCAACUUGGGUAUAAGCCUGGGAAACUGGGUCUAAUUCCCGAUAGGACUGCAGGGUGGUGCCUGUUGUGGAAAACGAUUUUCUAGUGGUUGGGGAUGAGCUCGCGGCCUAUCAGCUUGUUGGUGGGGUAAUGGCCUACCAAGGCGGCGACGGGUAGCCGGCCUGAGAGGGUGGACGGCCACAUUGGGACUGAGAUACGACCCAGACUCCUACGGGAGGCAGCAGUGGGGAAUAUUGCACAAUGGGCGGAAGCCUGAUGCAGCGACGCCGCGUGGGGGAUGACGGCCUUCGGGUUGUAAACUCCUUUCGACCGCGAGGAAGCCACCUGGUUGGAAGGGUGGUGACGGUAGUGGUAGAAGAAGCACCGGCUAACUACGUG
rnacentral:rRNA from 1 species